UGAUGACAAAGGCACACCCGAGCGAAAGCCGGGGUCGCAAAGCUUCCGGUCUACAGCCUUAGGGCCAUGACAGCGGGGUUGCCCCA
rnacentral:ncRNA from 1 species